rnacentral:rRNA from 1 species
ACAGAGGGUGCAAACGUUGUUCGGAAUCACUGGGCGUAAAGCGCGUGUAGGCGGCAGUGCAAGUCGGAUGUGAAAUCCCGCGGCUCAACCGUGGAAGUGCACCCGAAACUGCACAGCUCGAGUGUCGGAGAGGAAGGUGGAAUGCUUGGUGUAGAGGUGAAAUUCGUAGAUAUCAAGCGGAACACCGGUGGCGAAGGCGGCCUUCUGGACGACGACUGACGCUGAGACGCGAAAGCGUGGGUAGCAAACAGGA